CUAUUGUGACGGACCGCCUGGCACCCAAACUGGGUGCCUCCGCCAAUCGAUGCUCGUAGUGCUUACUGAGUACUUCAAGCACCUCACCAGACAACAUCAGCACUGUAGUCCCCGCUUCCAGCGUUACAGCUUGGUUGGUGUCUCAUUGUCUCCAAGCCCAGGAUCCACCUUCCAGUGGGUAGACCUGAGUCAUGGACUGUACUAACUCAAUUAUCUCCAUGCAGAAAAAUAUUUUUACAAACCCUG